UACGAAGGGGGCUAGCGUUGCUCGGAAUCACUGGGCGUAAAGGGUGCGUAGGCGGGUUCUUAAGUCAGAGGUGAAAUCCUGGAGCUCAACUCCAGAACUGCCUUUGAUACUGAGAGUCUUGAGUACGGGAGAGGUGAGUGGAACUGCGAGUGUAGAGGUGAAAUUCGUAGAUAUUCGGAAGAACACCAGUGGCGAAGGCGGCUCACUGGCCCGGUACUGACGCUGAGGUGCGAAAGCGUGGGGAGCAAACAGG
rnacentral:rRNA from 1 species